UGGAUCACCUCCUAACAGGGAGACAACACAAUGAUUUUGAUGCCUGAGUGCUUUUAUUCUUAGGCCGAAAUCCUGUCACCUUAGGUCGAUCGGUACCUCAGCUUUGAAGUCAAGGAUCAGCAGCAAUGUUGAUUGCUUGAUGGAGAUUUUCAGUUCCUAAACUUUGUCUAGGUCACACCCCAAAAGGGAUGAGACUCCUGGGCCAUUAGCUCAGGUGGUUAGAGCGCACCCCUGAUAAGGGUGAGGUCCCUGGUUCAAGUCCAGGAUGGCCCAUUCGGUGUUGGGGGUUUAGCUCAGUUGGUAGAGCGCCUGCUUUGCAAGCAGGAUGUCAGGAGUUCGAGUCUCCUAACCUCCACUGACCGAACUUGAUUCCCAUCUCCAAUUUUUUGGAGUUGAGCUCGAUUGGAGUGUGAUUUAGAUGUGUCCGCUGGAUGACCCCAGCUUCCUGUCAUUCCAAGUUUUAGGUUGAUGCCUUGAAUUUGGUUGAUAAGAUGCUGGGCUCGGAUCAAAUGAUCAAGCAAUUGAUGAUUUGAUUUGAAGUUCUAGCAGAACCUUGACAACUGCAUAGGUGAGUCUGGAAAAAACAAAGCAUCUUACAGAUGCAUUGUUUUGAAUCUGAUCUUCUGAAAGGGAGAUUGGAUCUAGAACAAUGAAAAUUCUUUUGAGCAAGAGCCGAGACUCUUGAACGUUCUUUGAUUGGUGUCGAGCCAAUCAGAGUUUGAUCUUGUUUUUAGCAAUAAAAACUUGAGAAUCUGCUUUCAACGGCGGUAAGCGUUCAGGAGGUUAAUUGGUCAAGCUACAAAGGGCUCACGGCGGAUACCUUGGCACACAGAGGCGAUGAAGG
rnacentral:tRNA from 1 species